rnacentral:rRNA from 1 species
GAUGAACGCUGGCGGCGUGCCUAAUACAUGCAAGUCGAGCGAACGGACGAGAAGCUUGCUUCUCUGAUGUUAGCGGCGGACGGGUGAGUAACACGUGGAUAACCUACCUAUAAGACUGGGAUAACUUCGGGAAACCGGAGCUAAUACCGGAUAAUAUUUUGAACCGCAUGGUUCAAAAGUAAAAGACGGUCUUGCUGUCACUUAUAGAUGGAUCCGCGCUGCAUUAGCUAGUUGGUAAGGUAACGGCUUACCAAGGCAACGAUGCAUAGCCGACCUGAGAGGGUGAUCGGCCACACUGGAACUGAGACACGGUCCAGACUCCUACGGGAGGCAGCAGUAGGGAAUCUUCCGCAAUGGGCGAAAGCCUGACGGAGCAACGCCGCGUGAGUGAUGAAGGUCUUCGGAUCGUAAAACUCUGUUAUUAGGGAAGAAUAUAUGUGUAAGUAACUGUGCACAUCUUGACGGUACCUAAUCAGAAAGCCACGGCUAACUACGUGCCAGCAGCCGCGGUAAUACGUAGGUGGCAAGCGUUAUCCGGAAUUAUUGGGCGUAAAGCGCGCGUAGGCGGUUUUUUAAGUCUGAUGUGAAAGCCCACGGCUCAACCGUGGAGGGUCAUUGGAAACUGGAAAACUUGAGUGCAGAAGAGGAAAGUGGAAUUCCAUGUGUAGCGGUGAAAUGCGCAGAGAUAUGGAGGAACACCAGUGGCGAAGGCGACUUUCUGGUCUGUAACUGACGCUGAUGUGCGAAAGCGUGGGGAUCAAACAGGAUUAGAUACCCUGGUAGUCCACGCCGUAAACGAUGAGUGCUAAGUGUUAGGGGGUUUCCGCCCCUUAGUGCUGCAGCUAACGCAUUAAGCACUCCGCCUGGGGAGUACGACCGCAAGGUUGAAACUCAAAGGAAUUGACGGGGACCCGCACAAGCGGUGGAGCAUGUGGUUUAAUUCGAAGCAACGCGAAGAACCUUACCAAAUCUUGACAUCCUUUGACAACUCUAGAGAUAGAGCCUUCCCCUUCGGGGGACAAAGUGACAGGUGGUGCAUGGUUGUCGUCAGCUCGUGUCGUGAGAUGUUGGGUUAAGUCCCGCAACGAGCGCAACCCUUAAGCUUAGUUGCCAUCAUUAAGUUGGGCACUCUAAGUUGACUGCCGGUGACAAACCGGAGGAAGGUGGGGAUGACGUCAAAUCAUCAUGCCCCUUAUGAUUUGGGCUACGCACGUGCUACAAUGGACAAUACAAAGGGCAGCGAAACCGCGAGGUCAAGCAAAUCCCAUAAAGUUGUUCUCAGUUCGGAUUGUAGUCUGCAACUCGACUACAUGAAGCUGGAAUCGCUAGUAAUCGUAGAUCAGCAUGCUACGGUGAAUACGUUCCCGGGUCU